CUACGGGGCGCUGCAGACGCGAAACCUUCACAAUGCACGAAAGUGUGAUGAGGAGACUCCGAGUGCUAACGGGAAACCGUUAGCUUUUUUUGAGUAUAGAUAGCUCGAAGAAUAAGGACUGGGCAAGACCCGUGCCAGCCGCCGCGGUAAUACGGGCAGUUCAAGUGGUAUCCAUGUAUAUUGGGCUUAAAGCGUCCGUAGCUCGUUUGGAAAGUCUUUGGUGAAAGCUCGUGGCUCAACCACGAGAGGCGCCAGGGAAACUUCUAGACUCGGAGGCGGGAGAGGUCAGGGGUACUUAUAGGGUAGCGGUAAAAUGUGUUAAUCCUGUAAGGACCACCGGUAGCGAAGGCGCCUGACUAGAACGCGCUCGACAGUGAGGGACGAAGGCCAGGGGAGCAACCCGGAUUAGAUACCCGCGUAGUC
rnacentral:rRNA from 1 species